GAAGUGAUAAGAGUAUUAAAAUUCUUUUAUUCGACAUUACGGAUUGAAUUACGAAAAGAAGCGGUUGUAAUUAAUUUAAAACAUAUUGCAUCACGAGAAGAAUAGGAAAAAUAUUGCUAUACUUAAGUAUCAAGAUUAAAAUACUGAUGUACCGUUAAACCGAAGGUGGUAUUAAAGUUUACAUAGUUUGCUCUGGCUGAAUUUUUCAAUGAAAAAACAAAAUGUGUGCCAUGAAUGUAAUCUGUUUUUCAUCGCGUAUCAAUGAAAGUUUGGUGUAUUGGCCAAAUCACUUGUAAGCAUCUUGCCUUUAGGCUGCCAUACGUAAAGUCACACUUUUAAAAGUAACUGAAAGCAGCUGAAAAUAAGAUUUUUUUGAUGACCUUUCUUACUUCGGUUGGAGGAGAUGAGAAACAACUUACAGCAGCAAUCUUAAUAUAGCUAAUGGCCAAAGAAGUAUGUUUUUCAUACCCAGUGUAUGGAAUGAAACAAAAACGUCCUGCAAGGUCGUUAUAGGUAAAGCACAAUAUUUGAAUUCUAAAUCCCAUUUCCUUUCAAUAAAUAAAUAUUUUAAUAAAAUUAUUUUACAAUAUUUAUACGUGAAAAGUUAUAUAUUUCAAAAUUAUAUUGUGAUGAUAUUUAAAAAACAUUUUGUAAAGUUGCGUUUAGUCAUUUAUCGUUGUAUUCGUUCAUUUCGAAAUCACAACUGACUAAAGUAUUAAAGAAAAAAUUGGCAGCUUUUUGGCGACGGCCAUUAAUAGAGAUUACGGAAGAAAAACAGAACCGUAACUGAGCAACGCCCAAUAUUGAGCAAUGAAAUAAGUAUCGCCAAUAUAAUGAAAGUCGAUGCCCACUAUCUCAUAGUGAGAGUAUAAUACAG